GUCUAUUUCUCCUGCAGGGAGGGGCACUGAAUAUUUGGGACGGUCUUUUUCCAGGAAGAUACCAGCUCUGCCUAAAAUAUAGCAGUUGCAUGCGAUUUAGAAAUCUGACAAACAGGAUUGUCAGAAAAGAUCUGAAGGAAGCUGCCAUGUGGGGAAUUGUAAUUUUUUCCCCUAAAGAUUAUUUCAUGCUUGUUGGAUCCAUCAUAUUCUGAAAUCCUUUUGCUGUCCAACAAAUAUUGAUAAGUGGAGGCUAUUCAGUCACAUAGUUCUUAGGCAUAUCACGCCAUAGCUCCCUGACAUAUGCCUACUGGCUGCCUUAAUUUUCUCCCAAUUUGUAGCUCCAUGUUUCCCCAUCUUCCUCCCCACACCCCAUCUUUUUCUUUUUUUCUUUUUUUUUUUUUUUUUGCCCUUCUUCAUUUCUUCUCUGGUCUCCAAAACCCAGAUGACUGUGACUUUUCUGUGAUCACUUAAGAUUUUCAAGCUCCUCCCUCAAGAGGCUGGUAAUUUCCACUUGGAGCAUUUUCCUACUAUUUUGUCCAGCUAAGCAGUAGGUUCUUAGGAAAACUGUGUGUCUUGGAGAAUGAAUUUCCAUCAGAGCGUGCUGAGACUGAAGAGCUGGCAAAUAUGUUUCCCAGGCAUCUUUUGCAGGUAGAUUCAGGGUGUGGCCUUAGGAUCCACCAAGCAGCUGUAGUCAG
rnacentral:lncRNA from 1 species